UUGGUGUUGCCCCCUCCUGGACAGCGAUGGUGAUGUCUUCAUUGUAGAGGCGUUUGAUGCCGUCAUAGAAGUCAUCCACCUCCAUCUCCUCCACCUGGACAGACAGACAGACUUAUAUUGUGACUCAGGCCCUGCAGUAAGUUGUUUAAGUGUUUUUUUAAGGGGUAGGGUUACCUUGCGCUUGGCGGAGGCCUUGCAGCGCAGUGUGACCUUCUGCAGGUGGUUAAGAUGACGGAGGUGUUUGGGUGGGGAGAGUAGGGCUGGGAUGUUGCUGUUGGUGGAAGAGACGGAGGUCCAGGGCUGUUGCUUCCCCUCCUCCCUGCCAGCAGGUGUCUGUGGCUGGGAGGGGGCAGCAGUGACGAGGGUGUGGUCCCUGGAAGACUCGGCAUCAGAGGUGAUGAUCCCUGGAAUGUUCCAGAAAUACUUUAAUACUUAUGUACAUGUACUGAAUAUUUUCAAGUAAAUAAACAUACAUCAGUGCAGCAGAA